CGGUUCGUCGCGCGCCGCAUUUUAAGAGUGUGGUGUGAGGAAAGUCCGGGCAACAUAGAGCACCAUAUUACCUAACGGGUAGCUGUCGGAAUCAAUAACGGCAGAGUAGCGUGACAGAAAAUAACCGCCUGCUUCGGCAGGUAAGGGUGAAAAGGUGAGGCAAGAGCUCACCGGGGCCGACGGCGACAUCGGCUGCCGCACGCCUUAUGGGUUGCAAGGUCAAGUAUACCGGCAAUUAAGGGUUGCUCGCCCGCUGCCGGGGGGUAGACCGCGAAGAUAAAUGACGAACCGGGCCCGCGGUUCGCCGCGAGGCGAUAACCACGGUACCCGACAUAACCCGGCUUACAGCCCGGCCGU
rnacentral:RNase_P_RNA from 1 species